rnacentral:tRNA from 1 species
CGGUGUCUGAGUUUUAAAGGUUUUUCUGGUAGGUCACUGCCUUCGGGAGGCAGGGGCCGGAGGUUCGAAUCCUCUCACCCCGACCA